GACGAACGCUGGCGGCGUGCUUAACACAUGCAAGUCGAACGGUGAAGCGCCUUCCUUUUUGGUGGGUGUGGAUGAGUGGCGAACGGGUGAGUAACACGUGAGUAACCUGCCCCCUUCUUCUGGAUAACCGCAUGAAAGUGUGGCUAAUACGGGAUAUUCUGGGUCUGUCGCAUGAUGGGUCUGGGAAAGAUAUUGUUUCGGUGGUGGAUGGGCUCGCGGACUAUCAGCUUGUUGGUGGGGUGAUGGCCUACCAAGGCGGUGACGGGUAGCCGGCCUGAGAGGUUCGACGGCCACACUGGGAAUGCGACACGGCGCAGACUCCUAGGGGAGGCAGCAGUGAGGAACAUUGCACAAUGGGCGGAAGCCUGAUGCAGCGACGCGGCGGGGGGGAUGGAGGCCGUCGGGUAGUGCACCUCUAUCGGCAGUGAAGCAGGGCUGCCUCGUCUGUGGGUGGGUUGACGGUAGCUGGAUAAGAAGCGCCGGCUAACUACGUG
rnacentral:rRNA from 1 species